rnacentral:rRNA from 1 species
GACGAACGCUGGCGGCGUGCUUAACACAUGCAAGUCGAACGGAAAGGCCCUGCUUUUGUGGGGUGCUCGAGUGUCGAACGGGUGAGUAACACGUGAGUAACCUGCCCUUGACUUUGGGAUAACUUCAGGAAACUGGGGCUAAUACCGGAUAUGAGCUCCUGCUGCAUGGUGGGGGUUGGAAAGUUUCGGCGGUUGGGUAUGGACUCGCGGGUUAUCAGCUUGUUGGUGGGGUAGUGGCUUACCAAGGCUUUGACGGGUAGCCGACCUGAGAGGGGGACCGGACACAGUGGGACUGAGAGACGGCAAAAAGUCAUACGGGAGGCAGGAGGAGGGAAUCGUACGCAAUGGACGCGAGUCUGACGGAGCAACGAGGCGUGAGUGAAGAAGGUUUUCGGAGCGUAAAACUCGGUUGUUAGAGAAGAAUAAGUGCUAGCGGAAAUGUUAGCGGCUUGACGGUAGCUAACUAGAAAGAAACGGAUAACUACGUG